AUACUUACCUGGCAGGGGAGACACCUUGAUCACAAAGGAAGUUUUCCCAGGGUGAGGCUCAGCCAUUGCACUCCGGCUGUGCUGACCCCUGCGAUUUCCCCAAAUGAGGGAAACUCGACUGUGUAAUUUGUGGUAAGCAUAUAUAUAUAUAUAUAUAUAUAUAUA
rnacentral:snRNA from 1 species